UACGAAGGGGGCUAGCGUUGCUCGGAAUGACUGGGCGUAAAGGGCGCGUAGGCGGCUUGCACCGUCAGAUGUGAAAUUCCUGGGCUUAACCUGGGGGCUGCAUUUGAUACGUGUGGGCUUGAGUGCGGAAGAGGGUCGUGGAAUUCCCAGUGUAGAGGUGAAAUUCGUAGAUAUUCGCAAGAACACCAGUGGCGAAGGCGGCUCACUGGCCCGGUACUGACGCUGAGGUGCGAAAGCGUGGGGAGCGAACAGG
rnacentral:rRNA from 1 species